rnacentral:RNase_P_RNA from 1 species
CGUGUCGGCCGGAUCAUCGCCUUGCCAUUUGGCAGGGAGGAAAGUCCGAACUCCAUAGGGUACCGUACUUCCUAACGGGAAGGCAUCGCAAUUGCGAUGACGGCAAGUGCAACAGAAAAUAUACCUGCCGAUGAAUUUAUUCAGGUGAGGGGUGAAAUGGUGUGGGUAAGAGCCCACCAGCAUCAUGGGUGAUCAUGGUGGCUAGGUAAACCCUACGGGGAGCAAGACCAAACAGCAUCGCACGCGUAAGCGAUAAGGUGACCCGCCGAACUGCGAUGCGGGUAGGUUGCAUGAGACCAGUGGUGACGCUGGUCCUAGAUAGAUGAUGAUCCUUCUGGUUUAGCUGUCGUGGUUACAGCCCCAGAAGACAGAAUUCGGCUUAUAGGCCUACACGUAAC